GAUGAACGCUGGCGGCGUGCCUAAUACAUGCAAGUCGAGCGAACGGACGAGAAGCUUGCGUCUCUGAUGUUAGCGGCGGACGGGUGAGUAACACGUGGAUAACCUACCUAUAAGACUGGGAUAACUUCGGGAAACCGUAGCUAAUACCGGAGAAUAUUUUGAACCGCAGGGUUCAAAAGUGAAAGACGGUCUUGCUGUCACUUAUAGAUGGAUCCGCGCUGCAUUAGCUAGUUGGUAAGGUAACGGCUUACCAAGGCAACGAUGCAUAGCCGACCUGAGAGGGUGAUCGGCCACACUGGAACUGAGACACGGUCCAGACUCCUACGGGAGGCAGCAGUAGGGAAUCUUCCGCAAUGGGCGAAAGCCUGACGGAGCCAGGCCGCGUGAGUGAUGAAGGUCUUCGGAUCGUAAAGCUCUGUUAUUAGGGAAGAACAUAUGUGUAAGUAACUGUGGCCAUCUUGACGGUACCUAAUCAGAAAGCCCCGGCUAACUACGUG
rnacentral:rRNA from 1 species